GAAAAAACCAGUUUUAACAUUUAACUGGUCAAGUUCCCAACCAAAUUGAGCAACUAAGGCAAGCAAACACCUUAUAGUGGUAUACUUAACAACAUAAGAAAAUAUUUCAUUAUGAUUUACACCUUCUUUUUGUCUAAAUCUCUUGGCUACUAACCUAGCCUUAUAUCUUACAUUAUUACUUCCUCAUUUUUCUUCCUUUAUUUUAUAAAUCCAUUUACAAUCUAUAAGCUUUUGACCUUUAGGCUUUUCAACUAAUUUCCAGGUUUUAUUCUUAAGAAGUGAACUCAUUUCAUUUUUCAUGGUUGCUAUCUAAUGCUUAGAACCCUUACAAUUAAUGGCAUCUUUAUAAGUGUUAGACUCAUUUUCAGAUUGUUCUUGAUAGCUAAAUAAUGGAACAAAGUCAUCACUCUCAUAUCUAGCCGGUGGUCUAAUCUGCCUUCUUUCCCUAUCUCUAGUUAAUUGAUAUUCAUCAAUGGGAAAAUUAGGAUUAUCAUGCUGAUCAUUUGGGGUCAUCAACUGGAUUAUUUUCACUUUCAUUUAUGACAUCAUUUUCUACAAUAAUAGUUCCUGGUACAAUAGGUGCGGUGUUGCUCCUUCACUUUUAGAAGGCUCCACCUCAAUUUGAACAUCAUCACAAGUCAGAUUUUGUUUUCCUUCUAAACAAGGCAUAAGUGACUCAUUGAAAACAACAUUCCUCAUAACAAUCACUCUAUACCCUCUUUCUCCCUUUACCAACAAUCUAUACCCUUUAACUUUU
rnacentral:lncRNA from 1 species